UGAUUCCUCAGUUUAAUUCUUUUGUUGUUCUAUUAAGUGCCCAUUUUCACUUUGAUGUUUUGUUUAUAACAUAGGAUUUUUUUUUUUUUCUUCCUCUUUAUUGAUGCAUGGGUUUGUGGAAAUUUUCCCUUUUUUUUCCCCUCUCAUUCCCCUCAUUUUUUUCCCCUUAUUUAUCUGUGUAUAUGUGGUUAAACUAUUCUCUCAUAGCAUGAAUUUUUAGAGAAAAUUUAGUAUUGAAAUUAUUUAGUGGGUUUUGAUGCAUACCUCAGUAGUGGGUCUAGCUUAGUAUUAACAGUAGAUUUUUUUUUCUUUAUAUAUUUAUAUAUACAUAUUUAUUGAAAUGAAAAUUAAUUACAGAGAAUUAAAUUCACUUGAGGGGUAAUUAACUCUGAAGCUACUUCUAGAGUUAUGUAAUCACUGGUUUCUUGUUUCUACAGCUCUAUUUCUUCUAGUUUAUACAUAGUUCUUGCUCUUGAGCUCAUUUAUUUGUACAUAAUGGUUGAAAAUUGAGCUAAAUUUACCUUAUAAAUACAGUAAAAUAAUUGAAGUUUGGAAGAUACUCAUAGAUCAAAAUUUCAAUCUUUACGGGUCUCUGACUAAAGAGUAACCGUUAUUCUCCGAAAGCUUAAGCAAUCAAAGAACAGUAUUUUAAUAUUUUUAUAUCCAGGACUCAUCUUCACGUUUGGGCUCGAGAUAUUUUUGGAAGUCCCAAGAUGUGAAAAUUGACUCAAACUCACGACCUCCUGUUCCGAUACUACGCAAAAGAAUAUAAAAUUAAUGUUGUUCACUGAAAGCUUAACCUAAAAGAGAACAGUAUUUUAAUAUUUUACGAUCAAUACUUGCAGAUAAAGAUCAUCUUUGUUAGAUUUUUAUGUGAUGGAGAGUGGUUUGGAUGAAAUGGAGCUGAUAAAUUCUUGUGGUGCAAAAGUAGGUACUCUAGCUUGUUGCACUUGUGGUUUGUUCCUAGUUUAAUUGUUCAUGUACCACUCACUGAUCUCAAUUUUAGGUCCAUGAUUCUAUAUGCUUAGAGCUUGCAAAGUUGUUGGAUAAAGCUGCUUUGAUUAUCCCCACAAUCGAAUCGGCUCGACCCGGAGGCAGAUUGGGGAUACAGGAAUUGUGCUCUUUAAACAACACUGUUGAGAAGGGCAAGCUCAUCCUUCAACACUGCACUGAAUGUAGCAAGCUUUACUUAGCGAUUACUGGAGAAUCAAUUUUAUCGAGAUGCGAGAGGAUAAGGAACUCGCUGAAUCAAAGCUUGUGUCAGAUUCAAAAUUUGGUACCACCUCUAGUAGGUGCUAAGAUUACUGAAGUUCUUGAUUAUCUUCGAGACGCGAAGUUUAUCAUUAAUUCGACAGAAGAGGAGGCUGGAAAAGCCCUUCUCGAACUGCUCCGUCAGACCGAUUCGGGCGAAGAGCACGAAUUCGCGACAUUCCAAAUUGUAGCUUCCAAACUAAGCCUCACUUCUCCAAGAGACAUUUCGAUCGAGAGAAGAUCCACGAAGAAUCUACUCGACAAGUUCCGCGGCGCCGAUCCCCAAAAAGAAAAAAUCCUGAAGUAUUUUCUGUACCUUUUGAAAAAGUACGGGAAUAACAUUAGUUCAGAGAGUAGCAACUGUGAAACCAAACAAUUCGGGGCUCGAAUUGAUUAGUUGGUUACUAUUAAAUACAUUGAGAAGCUGAGGAACUUAUUCUGCGAUUCGCAACACAUGCAUGAAAGAUCCUAUUCUCUGUAUCUGAAUUCGAAGAUAAAUGGAGUGUUAGAGUUCCGAAAAUACGGGUUUUUUUCGCAGCUGUUUUUGAUGGGAUCUCUGAACUUCCAAUGCAAGUCCAAGACAAGGUUUGAGAAGAUGUCGAAAUUCUGCCGGAAUUCUAUGCUGUCGGAUGGAUUUGCAGAAGCACUGAUAUGUGGUUUCUGAGGAAUUUUUUUCGCAAUCUGUCGAAAUGUGCAGAUGCAUAAAGCUGGAUCUUAGCAAGAACAGUUAUGCACCAGAGGAAUAGAUCACUUACUAGAGGUGAGAUUGAUGCAUUUUGGAAAUCCAAGAAGGCUGAAGAAGAAGACAUGAAGGAAAUUUCCACUCAAAUAAGUCAAAAUCAGGGGAACAUAAGUGAAGGGUAUGGG